UACAGAGGUCCCAAGCGUUGUUCGGAUUCACUGGGCGUAAAGGGUGCGUAGGCGGGUUUUUAAGUCAGAGGUGAAAUCCUGGAGCUCAACUCCAGAACUGCCUUUGAUACUGAGAAUCUUGAGUUCGGGAGAGGUGAGUGGAACUGCGAGUGUAGAGGUGAAAUUCGUAGAUAUUCGCAAGAACACCAGUGGCGAAGGCGGCUCACUGGCCCGAUACUGACGCUGAGGCACGAAAGCGUGGGGAGCAAACAGG
rnacentral:rRNA from 1 species